CGCUGAUGUCUUUUUAUCUCAUAGCAUCACUACGACAUGUGUACGCAUUCUUUGGCCAUGCCAGCCUCACAAUUGUGUCUUCGGUCGAGGAGGAGUGGACAGUGGAGUGGCCGAUCUGUUGAUCGCUGGAGGUCCACCUACAUCCAGCGGUGUCUUUGUCCCGUAUUUAUCGGGAUCGGCUUUUCCGCCGUGUGCCACAUACAGUCCGACACUGGCUGAUGGGAGUCUAGUUGAAUCACAGCUGGAUUCUCUGACUGAAAGCUUGGCGACCCAUCUUUGCAGGGGAGCAGUAAAGCAGGAUGCUGCGCGUACGCGUUUUUGACAGUGCGCGCACCCGACAGGUCACACAUCUUCUGUCCACAAACAUCUGCUUUU